CUUCAGGGCGGGGUGAAAUUCCCCACCGGCGGUAUAGUCCGCGAGUGACUGCCUUUGGCAGGAACCGAUCCGGCGAAAUUCCGGAACCGACAGUAUAGUCUGGAUGAGAGAAGU
rnacentral:ncRNA from 1 species